rnacentral:lncRNA from 1 species
GGGGUUGGAAAAUGUAGAUUAGUUGUAUACUAAUUGGUUUGAUAAAGCAGUUUGCCAAUCUCUGCCAGAACACACAGGGGUAAAUCCAGAUGGAUUAAGAGCUACAUUCAGGCCAAGCACUGUGGCUCAUGGGUAUAAUCCCAGUACCUUGGGAAAUCAAGGUGGAAGGAACACUUGAAGCCAGGCGUUUGAGAUCAGCCUGGGCGACGUGGCAACGUGGUGAGGCUCCAUCUCUACCAAAAAAAAAAAAGAAUACAAAAUAAAAACUGAAUAGCCAGGUGUGUUAGCAUUUUACCCUACCUGCAAGCUACAAAGUUAGCCUGCGACAAUUUUAGGGAUGCCGGCAGAAGACAUGUGGUCCUGGAU